AAUCCAUAGGUUAAUGAGGCGAACCGGGGGAACUGAAACAUCUAAGUACCCCGAGGAAAAGAAAUCAACCGAGAUUCCCCCAGUAGCGGCGAGCGAACGGGGAGGAGCCCAGAGCCUGAAUCAGCAUGUGUGUUAGUGGAAGCGUCUGGAAAGGCGCGCGAUACAGGGUGACAGCCCCGUACACAAAAGCGCAUGUGCUGUGAGCUCGAUGAGUAGGGCGGGACACGUGGUAUCCUGUCUGAAUAUGGGGGGACCAUCCUCCAAGGCUAAAUACUCCUGACUGACCGAUAGUGAACCAGUACCGUGAGGGAAAGGCGAAAAGAACCCCGGCGAGGGGAGUGAAAAAGAACCUGAAACCGUGUACGUACAAGCAGUGGGAGCACCCUUUGGGUGUGACUGCGUACCUUUUGUAUAAUGGGUCAGCGACUUAUAUUCUGUAGCAAGGUUAACCGAAUAGGGGAGCCGGAGGGAAACCGAGUCUUAACCGGGCGUUAAGUUGCAGGGUAUAGACCCGAAACCCGGUGAUCUAGCCAUGGGCAGGUUGAAGGUUGGGUAACACUAACUGGAGGACCGAACCGACUAAUGUUGAAAAAUUAGCGGAUGACCUGUGGCUGGGGGUGAAAGGCCAAUCAAACCGGGAGAUAGCUGGUUCUCCCCGAAAGCUAUUUAGGUAGCGCCUCGUGAAUUCAUCUCCGGGGGUAGAGCACUGUUUCGGCUAGGGGGCCAUCCCGGCUUACCAACCCGAUGCAAACUGCGAAUACCGGAGAAUGUUAUCACGGGAGACACACGGCGGGUGCUAACGUCCGUCGUGAAGAGGGAAACAACCCAGACCGCCAGCUAAGGUCCCAAAGUCAUGGUUAAGUGGGAAACGAUGUGGGAAGGCCCAGACAGCCAGGAUGUUGGCUUAGAAGCAGCCAUCAUUUAAAGAAAGCGUAAUAGCUCACUGGUCGAGUCGGCCUGCGCGGAAGAUGUAACGGGGCUAAACCAUGCACCGAAGCUGCGGCAGCGACACUGUGUGUUGUUGGGUAGGGGAGCGUUCUGUAAGCCUGUGAAGGUG
rnacentral:rRNA from 2 species